rnacentral:rRNA from 1 species
UACGUAGGGUGCGAGCGUUAAUCGGAAUUACUGGGCGUAAAGCGUGCGCAGGCGGUUCGUGAUGUCUGAUGUGAAAGCCCCGGGCUCAACCUGGGAAUGGCAUUGGAAACUAGCGGGCUGGAGUGUGGCAGAGGGGGGUGGAAUUCCACGUGUAGCAGUGAAAUGCGUAGAUAUCGUGAGGAACACCAGAGGCGAAGGCGGCUACCUGGACAAUUGCUGACGCUCAGGCACGAAAGCGUGGGGAGCAAAAGGG